rnacentral:lncRNA from 1 species
GUAAUUUCAAAGUCUUCCAGAAGUAGCUGUAAUUUCUCAAAUGAUCAAGCAGCUUAGGAGCUUGGAUCCCACUUUCAGAGGCAACAGACACAUUGGAGCCUUAGUUCCUUGAUUUACAAUGCUUUGUUGGGAGUCCUGGUAGAAGUUUGGCAGCCUGUCAGAGACACCUGCACCCACGUGUAAGAAUGGGUACAUUCAACAGCUGGAAGAGCCACUGUGGAUUCAUACAGCAAUUUUCACAGCAGGAAAACAACAGCAAAAUAACGUGGACUAAUGAGAGAAAAUACAAGCAGUCAGCACUGCCAGGCAAAGCCUACUGCUUGUGUUUGAUUGACUGGGAAUCGUUCACUGAC